GUGCCAGCCGCCGCGGUAAAACGUAGGAGGCGAGCGUUAUCCGGAUUUACUGGGUGUAAAGCGCGAGCAGGCGGUCGGGUAAGUUGUGUGUGAAAGCGCUCUGGCUCAACCGGGCGAGGACAUGCAAAACUGCCGGACUGGAGGUAGGUAGAGGCGAGUGGAAUUCCGGGUGUAGUGGUGAAAUGCGUAGAGAUCCGGAGGAACACCAGUGGCGAAGGCGACUCGCUGGGCCUAAACUGACGCUCAGACGCGAAAGCAUGGGGAGCGAACGGGAUUAGAUACCCGCGUAGUCC
rnacentral:rRNA from 1 species